CAAAUGUCUUCGUCGGUAAUCUGAAGGUGUUUAGAGGAGAACUCCUGAAGGCGAAGUGCCCAUCGGAUGAGCCGAGUGCUUGGCUUUUGGGUUUUGAAAACCCAGACAAGAGAUGAAUGGUGCGGCUGGCAAAGGCAAGAACCUGUUCGGUACCCAGACCAGUCUGUUGAGCCAAGACAGCUCCAAGACCAACAUCGCUGGCAUCUGUGUACACAGUGAAAGGCAGAUUGAAAUCCGGAUGUCCGAGGAUUGGAGGGCAUUCAGUGGUUCAGAGACCUGGGAAAACCGGGGCACAAAACGGUGGUACCAUCCUGUCAUCCCCAAAAACCUUUGCAGUUCUUUGAUGGUUUGUGGGACAGGGAAAUCUUGUACUGCCUUGGUCUUCUCACUAUCCACUGCUAUCCCAGCAGAGGAUACAAUGUGGCCCAGAAACU